rnacentral:lncRNA from 1 species
AGGACAGUCACGCGACGGGUUCUGGUCCAAAAACCGCCUAAGUGCUCCGAUAACACCCAGGGACUCGCCUAUUUUUACAGCGCGUUUCUACUUCCAAGGUCUCGGCGUAAUCAUCUUAAUGAGCGUUACUGGAAAUAAGAUAUGUGGAACGGAGUUAUGUAUCAAAACCCACUUUGAAGGAAGUGGUCAUAGUAAGUGCUACAAGAACACCCAUUGGAUCUUUUUUAGGCAGCCUUUCCUUGCUGCCAGCCACUAAGCUUGGUUCCAUUGCAAUUCAGGGAGCCAUUGAAAAGGCAGGGAUUCCAAAAGAAGAAGUGAAAGAAGCAUACAUGGGUAAUGUUCUACAAGGAGGUGAAGGACAAGCUCCUACAAGGCAGGCAGUAUUGGGUGCAGGCUUACCUAUUUCUACUCCAUGUACCACCAUAAACAAAGUUUGUGCUUCAGGAAUGAAAGCCAUCAUGAUGGCCUCUCAAAGUCUUAUGUGUGGACAUCA